AACCACUAGGGGUGCCUUUUAUAAGGCUGAGAUCAAAGUGUGACUUUGAGACUCUUAGAACCUGAUCUGGAUUAUACCAGCGUAGGGAAGUGGUGUU
rnacentral:ncRNA from 1 species